rnacentral:rRNA from 1 species
GAUGAACGCUGGCGGCGUGCCUAAUACAUGCAAGUCGAGCGAACGGACGAGAAGCUUGCUCCUCUGAGGUUAGCGGCGGACGGGUGAGUAACACGUGGAUAACCUACCUAUAAGACUGGGAUAACUUCGGGAAACCGGAGCUAAUACCGGAUAAUAUUUUGAACCGCAUGGUUCAAUAGUGAAAGACGGUUUUGCUGUCACUUAUAGAUGGAUCCGCGCUGCAUUAGCUAGUUGGUAAGGUAACGGCUUACCAAGGCAACGAUGCAUAGCCGACCUGAGAGGGUGAUCGGCCACACUGGAACUGAGACACGGUCCAGACUCCUACGGGAGGCAGCAGUAGGGAAUCUUCCGCAAUGGGCGAAAGCCUGACGGAGCAACGCCGCGUGAGUGAUGAAGGUCUUCGGAUCGUAAAACUCUGUUAUUAGGGAAGAACAUAUGUGUAAGUAACUGUGCACGUCUUGACGGUACCUAAUCAGAAAGCCACGGCUAACUACGUG